GCGUGUUGGUGCCUCGGUUGUGCGUGCCACAGCGUGAUUUGGUAAUCUGUUAAAUUUUUCAAGGAAAUUAGCACUACUAAAAUACCCGUCUAUCUGGUAUUGCAUUAUUACCACGACACCUUUCGUCCAACUGGAAAAAGAACUUGAAUGGCUGUAAAGAAGAGUUAACUUCACAGUUCACAUGAUAUAUUUUCGAUCUUCGUUCCUUAUUAGAUAAUAUCUUCUGCUGAAGGUUUUGUGUGACUUGGGACGCUGGGUACUUGUGAAAAUAGGUAUUAAGUGGUCCAGAUGUCUUCCGCUCGUCCCAUAACAUUUAUUUAUGCCAUCAUGCUCAAUAGAGUAACAGCUCAAAGAGAGCUAGAAUGAAGGAUUGUUUCCCAGCUUCUCAUCACAUACAUAGAUGAACAGACCCAAUGCUUUAGAUCCUUCCUUAAGAGGAACUGAUCACUUUGACCAAGAAAUAUCACUUGGAAUUUCAUAUCUUGUGCAAGAGAGAAGUUUCUCAAAGUGGUCUGCAAGAACCUUAGUUUACAUGUGGAUAUGGACUGCAAAUUCGAGGCUGGCGUGAUAGCUGUGUAUGGGAAAGUCACCUAAUUUAUGAUUAUUACCAACUGCUCAAUCUGAAAGGCAUUGCAGUCUAAAGUUUUAACUACAAGCUUGCUGGUAUCCUGAUUUCUGUCAAGUCGAGAGGCAAAUUUCUGGGGUAAUCCUUUUUUCGGUAGGUAAACCGGAAAAGAACAUUCCAAUUUAUUUAACUACUCAUUCUAUUUUCACCUUCGAUUUCUCUUAUUUUUUUAAAAAUCCACCGGAAAUUAAGCAAAUUAUCGUGGGGUAAAUGGACUGGUGGUUUUGUUGUUAUUUCGUCCAAGUGGCACCAGGCGAGAGGUUUCGAAUCUUUGUGUGAAUGUCACUAGCGUCGUGCUGAUUUGCGAAAUAGGUAGACGUCCAUUCACUCCAUUGUUACGCCGUUGUUACUAGCCAUAAAUUUCA